rnacentral:lncRNA from 1 species
CCACAGAUGGUAAACCAAGGACUCAGAAACAACACCAACACAAGCUCAAGCUCUCAAGCACGAGCAACACCAUCCACCUAAGUAUUGUAGUAGUAAGAGUGUCAUGUACUCUGAAUAAGAGACCCAUAUUUGAGCCUGUGUGAGAGUCUAAUGAGAGCCAUCUUAUAAAAAAGUCCCUGUACUAUGUUCGUGUGUAUCAAGAGCCUGGUGUACUACUCAGAGGCAUUCACCUUCGACUAUCAACGUACCUAAUAUAAUCCAGG